rnacentral:rRNA from 1 species
UACGUAGGGGGCAAGCGUUGUCCGGAAUCAUUGGGCGUAAAGAGCGCGUAGGCGGCCCUGUAAGUCCGCUGUGAAAGUCCAGGGCUCAACCCUGGAAAGCGGGUGGAUACUGCCGGGCUAGAAUCCGGAAGAGGCGAGUGGAAUUCCUGGUGUAGCGGUGGAAUGCGCAGAUAUCAGGAGGAACACCAAUAGCGAAGGCAGCUCGCUGGGACGGUAUUGACGCUGAGGCGCGAAAGCGUGGGGAGCAAACAGG